rnacentral:rRNA from 1 species
UACGAAAGGUCCAAGCGUUACUCGGAAUUACUGGGCGUAAAGGGCUCGUAGGCGGCCAACUAAGUCGGAUGUGAAAUCCCCAAGCUUAACUUGGGAACUGCAUCCGAUACUGGAUGGCUUGAAUCCGGGAGAGGGAUGCAGAAUUCCAGGUGUAGCGGUGAAAUGCGUAGAUAUCUGGAGGAAUACCGGUGGCGAAGGCGGCAUCCUGGACCGGCAUUGACGCUGAGGAGCGAAAGCGUGGGGAGCGAACAGG